GUUGUAUGGUUAAGUGACUAAGCGUACACGGUGGAUGCCUUGGCAGUUGGAGGCGAUGAAGGACGUACUAACUUGCGAUAAGCCUAGUCAAGCCAGUAAGAGGCGCUUGAGACUAGGAUUUCCGAAUGGGGAAACCCACCUGCUUGCAGGUAUCGUUAACUGAAUACAUAGGUUAACGAGGCGAACGCGGAGAACUGAAACAUCUAAGUACCCGUAGGAAAAGAAAUCAACCGAGAUUCCGAAAGUAGCGGCGAGCGAAAUCGGACCAGCCCUUAAGCUUUAGUGUAGUUAGUGGAACAUGCUGGAAAGCAUGACGAAACAGGGUGAUAGUCCCGUACACAAAAACUUAUCUAAAGUGAAAUCGAGUAGGUCGGAGCACGUGAAACUUUGACUGAAUAUGGGGGGACCAUCCUCCAAGGCUAAAUACUCCCAACUGACCGAUAGUGAACCAGUACCGUGAGGGAAAGGCGAAAAGAACCCCUGUGAGGGGAGUGAAAUAGAACCUGAAACCGUGUACGUACAAGCAGUAGGAGCCUACUUGUUGGGUGACUGCGUACCUUUUGUAUAAUGGGUCAGCGACUUAUAUUCUGUAGCGAGGUUAACCAUUUAGGGGAGCCGUAGCGAAAGCGAGUCUUAACUGGGCGCUUAAGUUGCAGGGUAUAGACCCGAAACCCGGUGAUCUAGCCAUGGGCAGGUUGAAGGUUGAGUAACAUCAACUGGAGGACCGAACCCACUAACGUUGAAAAGUUAGGGGAUGACCUGUGGCUAGGAGUGAAAGGCUAAUCAAACCGGGAGAUAGCUGGUUCUCCCCGAAAUCUAUUUAGGUAGAGCCUCGGACGAAUACUUACGGGGGUAGAGCACUGUUAAGGCUAGGGGG
rnacentral:rRNA from 1 species